rnacentral:rRNA from 1 species
AGUGAACGCUGGCGGUAGGCCUAACACAUGCAAGUCGAACGGCAGCACAGUAAAAGCUUGCUCUUACGGGUGGCGCGUGGCGGACGGGUGAGGAAUACAUCGGAAUCUACUUUUUCGUGGGGGAUAACGUAGGGAAACCUACGCUAAUACCGCAUACGACCUAAGGGUGAAAGCAGGGGUUCUUCGGACCUUGCGCGAUUGAAUGAGCCGAUGUCGGAUUAGCUAGUUGGCGGGGUAAAGGCCCACCAAGGCGACGAUCCUUAGGUGGUCUGAGAGGAUGAUCAGCCACACUGGAACUGAGGCACGGUCCAGACUCCUGCGGGAGGCCACAGUGGGGAAUAUUGGACAAUGGGCGCAAGCCUGAUCCAGCCAUACCGCGUGGGUGAAGAAGGCCUUCUGGUUGUAAAGCCCUUUUGUUGGGAAAGAAAAGCAGCAGGUUAAUACCCCGCUGUUCUGACGGUACCCAAAGAAUAAGCACCGGCUAACUUCGUG